GUGAAACCGCAGCUCAUUCUGGUCUGGUCGAAAGCAAUUUGCAUCGCUCCUAAGAAGAAGUCUCUGAUUGAUAGCCGUCUUGGCCAGACAAUUAUUUGAAUUGGCAGGGGCUUGCGUGUAAUUACUGAUCGAUUUUUGUUCUUUUUGGCUGUGAACUGGGCAUUGGAAAACUAGACAACUCACGGAAUGCAUAGAAAAUCUCAACUAUGUCACGCUCUGAACAACUUUCGGAUCCGAUUACUGUAAUUAACUUGUUCUAAUCGGUUUUCGACGAGGUGAUGAGGGAAAACUCAAAGUGUGUGGUGACUUUAGCUAAUUACAAAUUAUGUAAGCAGCUAAUCAACGGGUUUGAAGUUCAUGAAAACUUCUCGAUAAAUCAUGUUAAUUUAUGGCCAAUAUCCCGAAACGCACGUCAUGAUUUAUAUAAUUGAUGAUAUACAUGAAGUCCUAGAAUCUUCAAUUUGCCAACUCAAAUAUCUCAUUACCAAUUCAAAGAGAAACACUCCCAAACAAACAUGGACUAUCCAUUGCGGAGGACAUAACUCAUCUCGUUCCGUGUGGCAAAUAGGAAAACCCAGCCUCUGGCGAAGGCACAAGGAGGCACUCAAGACAUCGCCGCAUUCGCUCUCAAUGCGGAAUUUAAUUGCCAUAUAAAUGAAGGACAGCCAGUGCCUCCCCAAAGACUAAUUGCCGAGCGGUACGAACGCAGCACACAAUAUUGAUCGAUGUGGCAAGUCACGAUGCUGAUGCUGAUGCUUCUGCUGAUGCUGCCUGCCCCGCCAUGGUUGGCGACAAACUGUUGCAUGUGACCCACAAAUGAGGCCAACUGUAAAAUGGGCACCAAGGCAAAAGGACCAAGCAAAAUUGAGCCUAGUUCUAAUGGGCCCUGGCGAUGGCGAUGAGAUGCCACACGUACGAUUGCCGCCAGUCAUUCAACAGAGAGAAAGCGAAUUCACUGGGAAUUCUCCGGGGGGCGACUGUCCCCAUCCCCAGCCAAUUUCGACUGCCACCGCCCGCAGAUAAUUAAAUGAAAUUUCAUUAAUUGAGCUUUAGACUCUUUGCAUUCAUUAACUACACACUCUCCCAAGUGUCGAGGCCGGGUAAAAGCAAAUGGAACUUGCCACAAUUGAAAUUGUCUAUGCUGAAUUGGCAGGGGCGUAUCAUAAAGGCGGAUUUCACAAGUCAAUAUGAAAAAAGUGUAAAGAAACAGGAAAAUAUUUAAUACUAUUUUAAAAAACACAAGUAAUUUAAAAAAAAAAAUGUUUGGUUCUAAAAUGUCUUCUAAAGGUGUCUAAAAGUAUGCAGUGAAAAAGG